AACAUAAUAAGUUAAUAAUUGAAAUUGAAAUUGAAAUAAUAAGUUAAUACAUGACAUUGCAAAAACCCUAAUCCUUACUCUUUCGCCGCAACUUCUUCCUCAUCGCCUCUUCGUCACCGUCUAGUGUCUUCCUCAGAGCUGAGAGUCUCACCUUCUUUCCUCCGCCUCCACCGCCUGACUUACUGUCUCACUGAACUUCUUUCCUCCGCCUCCGACUCAGCUUACUCUCUCUCACUCUCGGUUUCACCUAAUAACUCCUUUUUCCCUCCGCUGCAGCAUUCUUCCCUAUCUGACUUUACCCAUAUUUUUUCGCCGCUUUCGGGCCUUCCACUGGGAUGCUUUGCCGCCUAAUGUGCUGAACCUCCAUUGACCUCGAGUCCACGACCUGCAGCCCCAAUUUCCCCCACCCAGCAAAACAGUCCAAGGCAGAAAGCCAAGAACUAAAGCAAAAAAUUUAGCUAAUCUCCGCAGAGUUUGCAAAGGAGGCAAUUCUCCACCUUGCAGCAGUCACCAUUGACUGACUAGAACCUAGUUGUUCUCUCUUGGUACUCGUUGAAGAGAAUCAACAUCCAGCUCAACUUGUGACUGAGAGUAAGAGGUACAUUUCCAUUAUUUUUCUUCUUAAGUAGUAAUAUUUCUUUCUCCGGUGAUGAUUAUGUUGUAAUUGAUUGGUUGUUUUGAUAUUCUCUUGCUAAAUCUCUCACUGUGUUUCUUCGGGCAGUAAUAGAGAAUCUCUUUGUGCUCUUUUUGUUUUCAAAUUUCUUAACCUUAAUAUGAGCAGGAAAAUAAAUCACAACUUUUUUGGGGGAUAAAUAUUAGCGACUGUAUUGGGUAAUGGGUAUUAAUAUUUCGGUAUAAUUAAUAGUAUAUCUGCUUGAAAUUAUGACUUUGAAUUCUCUAAUGGUGAUUCUAAUUUGGAGUAUAGAAAUUCAAGUUUAAGUAGUCAAGCCUAUCCCUCAAUCCCUCGGAAGUUGCAAAUUGAAAUGUUGUUUUACAUUUAUGAUUUAUUUGAAAUAUUUGUUGUCUUAUUUGUGUGAAAUUUGGACUGAAAUUGUUGCUUACAUUUGUAUUAUUUGAUAAUAGUUGAUUUGUAUUAUUUACUGGGAUUGUUUUGUAUUUGAAAUUUGGACUAGAAUGAUUGUAUAAGUAUUCACUGGAAUGGCUGUAUAAGUAUUCUCGUAUGAACUAUGAAGUGGUAGAGUUCUUGUGAUUUAUGAUAUUGGAAAGGCACUCUAGUUUGGAUGUUUGUACAGGCCAUAAGUAAUUUCUGCAAUUCAAACUCUGCUAGGAUGAUUGUAUAGGCUGUAAUUGUUAUGUUAUCAGCUACUUAGAUUCAUCAUUUAUCCUUUCCUCUUGAAUUUGAGACAGCCGACUUGUGGAAUCCAAGGGGACUGCAUUAAAUUUGAACAGGUUUUUCCCUUUUUGAACAAGAGAGGAGAAAAAAAAGAAUUCCAAAUUUAAUUCGGUAUCGAAUUCAAAAUCAGAAUUGGCCAUUUCGAAAUCGAAUUCAGUCGGGAAAAUUCCAGUCAAAAUUUCGAAAAUUUCCGAUUUCAACUUUCGAAUUACCGCUUUCGAUUUCGAUGCACAGCCCUACAGUCAGUAUGUUCUUUGCGCUGCUUUGGUCUUCUUGCUUCCUCUACAAUUGCCGAAAUUGCCUGCCGUCUCUAAUUCCUUUUCCCCUUAAUGGCUUAACCCUAAUCCCUUCUCCAAACUCCAAACUCCAAUUUUGAUCCAUAGCAAUCAGCAAUGAAGUGUUUCUACUCACCGCACCGAUUCUAAGCCAAAAAAAAAAAACUCUGGAAUCAAUCACGGACAGUGAUCUAUGGAACCUGCCAUUUCCAUCAUAUUAACACCUUAUACCUUGCCUAUGAAAGUUAAGCAAACCAAAACCAUAUGCAACUACAUGAGGCAAAUACUUGGACUUUAAAAUGCAAAAAAAAUCAGAUAGCUGUCUAAUGUCAACCAACAAAGUUAGCAUAAAGUGAGAGAGACUAGAUGCUAUGGUGUUGUGGAGAAGAAAACAUUGAACAAACCUUUUGAAUUUCUUCUGUAAUUCAGCAUCCUGAGUAGCCACAAAGAAAUGCUCAGAAUUGUUUUCUCCAAUAAUAUCAGUUAUGCAACUGAUAGCACUCUUCUGUUUCUCAUGGUCACAUCUGAAUAAAAGGUUCAUCUAUGUUUCCUUACAAAAACAAACUAAAAGGAGAAAGAUGAUGCUACAUGAUCACUACUCAUUUUUGUACAAAAACUUUUUACAGAUGUUUGGUUGUAUAGGAGCCAAUUAGAAAAUCAAGUCAGUAGAACUUUAACUGUAUUUAAAAAACUUCCAAAACUCCUCAGAGAAGUAAGAGGCACGCAAGGAAAAACAAACCUUGCGGUUAACAGGUUACGAGCUGCAUUAAGAGAUUCAGCAUAGGAGUCACCAAGGCUUCUCAACUCGCCAAGAACACAUCUGAAACUAGGAGUGAAACCUUAAAUGAGUAGUUAACAAACAGGUUAUGCUCAUCAAACAUCUAGCACAUCAUACAGAACCACGUGAAAAGAACAACCUAGCAUUGAAAUCCUUUCAUUCAAAUGUAGGAGAUUAGGAUAAUCCAAUAUUUAGUUCACAAAGUGCUCUGAGAAAGAAUUAUUGCAUUUAACUUCCAUUUAAAGGGACAAGUCACUAUUUGCACAAACACAACUUGUUUUGUUGUAGGCAUCCAACCACCACCACCACAGUGAUGGACUUCAUCACAACCUAGAUCCAUAUCUACUAUACAAUCCCUUAAGGCCACCUGAGGAAGAAAAUAUAUAUCCUAUACCACCUUUAAUUUUGUACAAUUGACUGUCCUACAAGAGUACCAACCAAAUGCCUAUAAUCUGUACCACCAUUGCAUCAUCCCGCCAUUUUGUCACUUCUCAUGCCACCAGAAUGCAUAACAAAAAUGGUAAUAGAACUUCACUUUUGUGCCAAGAUAUCUUUAACUUGAAUUUUCAUUAAAAAAAAGGAUUAACUUUCUAUGUACUGACAUUGUAAUGAUUUUUUUUUUUUUUACACUACCAGCCUUGAAUGUAUGCCAAAUGUACAUUAUUUGAAUUUCAAAUUUGAAUUCACAUUAUGUGACAUGAUCUAAACCUGCUUGUGUAAAUAAAUCUUUACACCGACAGAGUAUGAAAAUGUUAUAUGAAAAAAAAGAUGCUAUGGCAACCCCCUUGGCAGUUGUUAUUAUGGCCCAAGUCACAGAUGCAACAGCACAAGUGUCAAGGAUGCUUUAAAUGCAUUUUCGCACAGUAGUACAAUGAAACCAUAAGCUAAUGAUUACCUUCAGCAGGAUGCAUUUUUAUCACCAUAAGUUCAAGUUUCUGUACCAUCACUAUCAAGAGUACUUCUUUACUCUACAAACUUCUAUUUUGGCUGAUAAUUAGAUUUCAGCACAACGCCUCAACUUUAAUACCAGAACUGUUUUUUGCACAAAUCCUAUAAGUGUCUAUGAUAUCUACAUAUUACCAAAAGUUACUCUCCAAAGAAUACGUUGUUACAAACAUCAAAAGGAAGUUUUCACUCUCUCCCUUUCUUCUUCUCCAUGUCUCUUUAUCUCAUCUAUAUUUCACAUGAAAACUCGGACCUUUUUUGGUUUUAAAGAUAUCUCCUUUCAGGUCCCUCGCUAACUAUAAUCUAUUCUGAUGUAAUUUAGUUACAACCAAAACUCACAAAAAAACAAUGUGAAUUUCUUCAGCUUACAAUUUCUUUUAGCCGCUUACCUUAACAGGGGGGAAAAAUAACAUAAGAAGCCACGGCUUGGAACACAGUUUUGAAAGUAUUACCAGAAAAUUAAAAAACUAACAAUGCAAGUCAUCUGAAAGAUUUUGUCUAAACUUUUUGUGCAGCAAAAGGAAGCCAUUAGACCUGGUAGUAAAAAUCUUUACUGGGGCACCUAAAGCAUUAGCCAACGCAGUAUCAGCAGGAGUGAUCUUAUUGAGAAGCAGGUGGUGCACAAAAGUUCCAUCACACAGAACUUUAAAAGGCUCCCUGAAACCAAAGCAAGCUGUAUAGAAUCUGAAAGCUUUUCGAUGGCGUUUCUGCUUCUUUACUCUCAUCUAUCAACAUCAAGAAAAUAAUGAAUCAACAUGAGAAUAUUGAUAACAAACAAGAAAAUUGAAAUCCAACCCAAAUUGUGAUUUUUCUGACUUAAGAUUUGCAGUAUAUUUUCUUAUGCACAAAAAAAGUUAGGUAAAAUUUUAACACUUGACUUCUGCAUUUCCUUAUGAAACUGUCCUGUAUGUCCAUUUAAUUAGUGUCCAAUAGAACUCGAGCUGAGGCAUUGCGGUGGCCUCAAGACUCACAGAAACAAGGGUAAAAAUGGCAUGCAAAUCUCUUAUAGUGUUUGACAUGCAGCAGUUUGAGUUAGAAGAAAAACUAAUAUUCCUCCAUUGUUUCUUUAGUGUAUCGUGGGAUCUAAUUCCACUUCCUCCAGCACUCACUAGACUGACUCGAGGAAGAGUUAAAACAACUUAGCAGCCAGUCAUUCAUCUAAAGUGUUUCAAGGUCUAAACUUCUACAACAAAAAUGUCCAUUAUUUACGUUACCCAGCACAAAAUCUAAGCUAAUAGUUUUAGUUCCCUUGAAUUAAAUCCAUCGACAUACAUACAAUAGCAUAACACACAAUGCCCAAAAGGGAUUACGUACAUUGCCAUUCAAAGUCAAAAAAAUCCAACUAAGAAACAAAACUACCAGUCCUUGAGCCAGAAUGGAAAAAAAAGAAGAAAAAAGAAAAAUCGACGAACCGAAAUAGCUUAAAACUUUGUCCUAGUUUAAUAACUAUUCGGAUGCAAUUAAAUAGCACAACUAAUUAUGAUUAUCUAGCUAAAGAAUUUUCCCAUCUAUUAAGUUGAGUGAAAGUAUACACCAUUAAACAACCCACCAACAUGAAAAUAUUCUUCAUUUGCCACGAAAGAGAGACAGGAAAAAAAGAAAGUGGAAUAUGAAUUCAAAAAUCAUGAAACCUCAGGCAGGCGACUAGUAUGGGAAAUUUAAUAUACACUAAUAACAGAAAUAUAUAAAGAUACCUGAAAAUAUUGCUAUCUAUGGACAGAUAGAUAUGGGUCGCCACCGUAAGGAAGACCAGAGAAGAAAGAAGAACAAAGGGGGAGGCUAUUUGCCCUUU
rnacentral:lncRNA from 1 species